CGAUAAUAGUAGUUCUCGGUUACCUAAAAUAACCUAGUAUAACUAUCCCUACCAACAACUCUAUUUUUUAUAUAUAACUAUCCACUAUUUUUCUUAUUCCAUAUUAUCUAUCCAAAUUCUAUUUUUCUUAUUCCUGGAACAACUCAAUUUUUAUCCAAACGCUAUUUUUCUUAUCCCCAUACUUGUACCUAUCCCCGUAAUAGCUAGUUCAAUUUUAUUUUAAGAAAGAAUAGUUAAUCCGUCUAAUGGGGAAAAUUUUGUUUUGUUUAUUUAUUUUAAAUUCUAUAAAUAUUUAAAAAAAUUUAAAAAAAUGUAUAAAAAUAUGCAAAAAAAUUUAAUUUUUUUCCUCAAUAACCAAAAUAUUUUUUUAAAAUCUAAUUAAUCCCAUUA
rnacentral:lncRNA from 1 species